rnacentral:sRNA from 1 species
GCUGGGCACAGUGGUGCAUGCCUGUAAUCCCAACAGCUUGGGAGGCUGAGGCAGAAGGAUUGCGAGUUCAAAGCCAGCCUCGAGGCACUAAGCAACUCAGUGAGACCCUGUCUCUA